rnacentral:lncRNA from 1 species
UUUUGUUUCAUUUUCUGAUUAAUAAACUCUCUCUCUUCUAGAGAGUUCUCUCAGACGCUCCUCCUUCUCUCUAAAUUCUCUCACUACAUUCUCCAUGCUUCUUCAGUUUAAUCUCAAAGUUUUCAUGGUAUCAGAGCCUGGACGACGAUCCGACUAUGUUUUUGGCAUCUCGUUAUCUUGGUUGAAGUCUCCUUUGAGAUUUUUGGGGGUGUUUCUGAGACUUUGUGGUCGAUGACGAUUCCGAUCUAAAUCGGAUGCCUUUCUGAGUUUUUCAUCGUGAUAUCUGAGUGUAUUUUCUUCACUCGAACGUUCUGGGAGAUUUUCUGAUGAUUUUUGGGUAAUUUUUGGGUGACCUAUCGGCUUCUAGGGUUUCUGGUGGUUUAACCUAGGUUUUAUUGCUAUCCAGUGGCUCGAUUCUCACUAAGUGGAUGUUUUGGGUGACUUUCCGACAUCCAUGACCAUACUUCCAGUAAGGAUUUCGACGGUUGCACCUAGGGUUUUCUCUGUUUGAUUGAAGGCCGAUCUUCUCCGGUCGCGAAGAAGGAGGGUAACUCUUUCCUUAUCUUGAGUAUUGUAUGCUUUGUGUGUGAUUAUCUGGCUCCGUAUGUGAGUAUCUGGUUUUUGUGUGUGAAUAUGUGGUUUUGUGUGUGAAUAUCUGGUUUGGUUAUGGCUUCUAAUACGAGUGCUGGUACCUCCGCCUCAAUAGACUCUACCAGUCCCCUUUCUGUAUAUUCCUCUGAUGUCCCUGGGGUCUCUCUUCCCUUCUCGGGUAGUGGUUAUGGGGGCUGGAGGCGUAAGAUGAUUGUUGCUUUAUAUGCUAAAUUGUUGACGGUUCAUGUUCGUCCUACCACUAAUGUGGCUCAACAGAGACUGUGUGAUAGGUGUAAUAACAUGGUCAUUUCCUGGUUGACCUCCU